GCGGUUUUUAUUCCUGCUCCUUCUCCUUCUGGUGGGUUGUUUUGAAGAUCAAAUGAAUCGACUGGUGUGGAACACUGGGAAAAGAGGACGGCGCAUGGCCAGCUUUCGGUCCACCAGACACCUACAGUUGCUUUUAGAUCACAAGCACUCCUGCACCAUCACCAUGCUGACAGCUUCGUCUUCAGCUUGGUGGUCCUGGGAGGUGGUAGCACCUUUAAGAGUUGGGGCUUAGCAGAAGAAUGUGUCACUGGGGGCUUGAAAGUGAUACUGGCACUCUGACCUCCCCCCACCCCCACUCCUUCUCAUUUCCUGGAUCCAGGGUCAGUGGCUUUGUUCCCAUGCUCCCUCCACGAUGUGCUGCCUCAGCAUAGGUCCAAAAGCAAUGGAACUAAUCAACUGUGGACUGAACCCUCCAAACCCUGAGUCCAAACAAACCUUUCCUGUUGAAGCACCAGGGAUCAUGUUUGGAACUCAUGUUGGAUUCAUGGUGUUCUUUUCUACUCAGCUGUGGAUAGAUCAGUAGGCUUGGAGCCGACCUUAGAAGUGCCUUAGAAGUCUAUACGGUCUGGCAUGGAGUUCAGUGACAGAGUUCAUGUGCAGUAUGCAGAAGGCUCUGGGUUGGUCUCCAGGACAUUAAAAACACAGUGGUAGAAGACCUAGAUGGGAUCUAGCAUGGAUGGGAAUACUGAAGGGUCGCUGAGGAAACAGAGAAGGAUGAGAGCAGAAGCAGCCACUUGGUUCUAGAAGAUUCCAGGAAAGAGGAAAUGGAGUUUCCAAACAGAUCCAGCCACUGUGCUUGCCAUGAACUUUGUGUGAAACCUUGGCGCAGGGCAGGAUAUCCUUCUGUUUUGAACUGUGCCUUUUCCUGUUUGGAACAUGCUUGCCAGCCUCUCUCCUGGGCCUGGCCACAAUCUACCUUUCUGUGUGACUUGAUUCUCUACAUUCCUGCUCUUCCAGAGCUUCCCAGCAGGGGUUCCAGGACUCAGAUUAUUCGGCUUGUGUGGCAAAUGCUUUUCCUUGAUGAGCCAUCUCACUGAUUCUGAAGUGGAAUGUUUGACAGCUGGUCCAAAUCCACCCAAUGAUGGGCAGAACAAGACCGCGGACCUCCACGUGUCCCGUAGUAAAGUCUUCUCAUUUGUUGAUGCCUAUGUGUAACUUCAAGCUAACACAACAAAUCAGGGCUCAUCAACCUGGCAAUGCUGUUGGUGUUGAUACUCAGAAACGUGUCCUCACAGGCUCCCACCUUUUCACAUCUAUUUGGAAAUGUGACAAGGUAAAGCAGAGCGGGCAUGGCACUGACACCACUUCCCAUGUGGUCCUCAGAGGAGGACUUCACCCAGGCCAGCUCUGCUGACAGCUGACAGGGAUGCUCACACUGUGUCAUGGGCUUGUAUCUCUGCCUCCCUUGUGAAGACUGAGCAUUUGAACAUCAGACAGACUCUGGACAGAAGACAAGAUUAGCUCUGCCAUGGUCACAUGUAGUGACUUUUCUUCAUACAAAGCUUGAGGCUCUGUGAUACUUGGGGGCAAACCUAGGCUUGUGGAUGGGACGUGUGUUUGACAUCCAGGUUCUAACUUAGCUAUGCCUAGUGAUGCUGUUUAUGAGAUUUUUGGAAAUAUCCCUUACAAAAUUUCAGGGCUGGUAUAAGCUUGAAAAUCACCAGCCUACUAGGAGAUAUCACAGUAUAUUGGUUAAGCUUGUGAAUUUGCAGCGUGACAACUUGGAUUCUAAUCCAGGUGUUGCUAAUAAUGGUAGUGUGUCUCUGGCCAAUAAACCCCUUUGAGUCCCCAAUACAGCUGAGCUUGGUGUAGGCUUCCAGCAAAGGAGAUAAUUAGUGCUACAGUAGGGAUGCAUGAAGGGGAGGUGAGAUGGAGGGGCCAAGUUCAAAGGCGGCGGUUGGGGUGUGUGUCAAUGGACAGGUAAGGGAUCCAGCUUCUCCGGCAGACUGGAUAUAACCUGUGUCACACCAUCCAACAUCUCCUAGGAGUAUAAAUCUGGGUGUCCCUUUAGUGGAAAGACAGCCCCUCUGUUAUUGUAAAUAUGAAAGCUGAGGUUUGGGGAGCCUAUGUCUUGUCCAUAUUGAUUGAUGGAAGGUGCUCAUUCCUAGUGAGCCAUCCUCUCUAUAUAAUAGAGAGUUCUUCUGCAGAUUCUAGACUUCCUUACUCUAGUAAAUACAGGUAAAUACAGCAACCGCAUGUUUCGUUGGGGAGAGGUAGGGAUGGCACAUAGAGCCCAGCCUGCUCCUGGGGCUUCCUUUCACUCCUGUCCCGUAGGGCCCUAAGCUCACACCAGACUGUCCCAAUACUUUGAUGCACAUACAGAAAACAACCAUAUUUGAAUACAAUGGUUUACAAUUUCACAUGUACACAUGUAAAUGUAACUAUAACAUAUGUAUACACACAUAUAGUGAAAGGAUGCUUCGAAUGCAAA